UACAGAGGUCUCAAGCGUUGUUCGGAUUCAUUGGGCGUAAAGAGCGCGCAGGCGGCUGGUCAAGUCCGAUGUGAAAUCUCCCGGCUUAACUGGGAAACUGCAUCGGAAACUGAUCGGCUUGAAGGUGGGAGAGGGUAGUGGAAUUCCCGGUGUAGUGGUGAAAUUCGUAGAUAUCGGGAGGAACACCAGUGGCGAAGGCGGCGAUCUGGGUCGAUACUGACGCUGAGGUGCGAAAGCGUGGGGAGCAAACAGG
rnacentral:rRNA from 1 species